UACGUAGGGUGCAAGCGUUAAUCGGAAUUACUGGGCGUAAAGCGUGCGCAGGCGGUGAUGUAAGACAGAUGUGAAAUCCCCGGGCUCAACCUGGGAACUGCAUUUGUGACUGCAUCGCUGGAGUGCGGCAGAGGGGGAUGGAAUUUCGCGUGUAGCAGUGAAAUGCGUAGAUAUGCGGAGGAACACCGAUGGCGAAGGCAAUCCCCUGGGCCUGCACUGACGUUCAUGCACGAAAGCGUGGGGAGCAAACAGG
rnacentral:rRNA from 1 species